UACGUAGGGUGCAAGCGUUGUCCGGAAUUAUUGGGCGUAAAGAGCUCGUAGGCGGUUUGUCGCGUCGGCUGUGAAAACCUAGGGCUCAACUCUGGGCUUGCAGCCGAUACGGGCAAACUAGAAUUCGGUAGGGGAGACUGGAAUUCCUGGUGUAGCGGUGAAAUGCGCAGAUAUCAGGAGGAACACCGGUGGCGAAGGCGGCAUCCUGGACCGACACUGACGCUGAGGAGCGAAAGCCAGGGGAGCAAACGGG
rnacentral:rRNA from 1 species